GAGGGUGAAAACUCAAGUACUUUCAAUUCUCUAGAGAGAAAGUUUACAGUCUAGGUUUAAUCCUCUAGUAAAAACAAGCCAAACUGCUGUAGUUUCCUAGGGAAAAGAUAAUUAUGUGUGUGAAAGUGAGUUAUCAGUGUUACUUCUAUGUCAUUAGCCCACCAAUUCUGACAAUUCUACUUCCUAGCUCAAUUCUCAGCGGGAAAGACAGCAGCUGAAGAUGCCAAGGUACCAAAAAAUAUGAGACAACCACUCUUGCCCCCCAAAAUAGGUAAUUCAAUGCAGUAAUAGUGUCUAAAAGGGGGUUUCAGUCUCUGUAGCCCACAGCCCUUGUCCUUUAAUCUCUGUAUGACAGCAAGAAGGACCAAUUUGUACCAACAAUGGUGUGGACAUCUGACCACUAAGAAGUAAUCCUUCCAGCCUGGAAAUUCAGGUCACAUACAGUCAGGAGCAGCAAAAGGCCAUCAUGUGGGACGGCUUUUCACCACCACCAGCCUGGCCUGGACUCAGACCAACAGAUUUCCAUUCAGUCCUGGUGUCUCUUUGCAUCUCCUUCCUGGUGAGGAACAGCAGGGAUCACCAUUCACCUAGAGCAAGAUUCUGGUUAAGAGAUGCAGGAGAGAGCAUCCAAAUGGGAGAUAUAAUUGGGCUGUUUCAAACAGUGAAACCAGGACUCCCACGGGCUUCCAACCAGUGAAAGAGAUUUCCCAAAUGUGGAAAGUGGUUUGGAAGUGAGAGGAGGAAUUUAUGCUCACAACCUGGCAUUGUUCCAGGAAAAAGCUGGCUGUUACCAACAGGAGGUGGGUCAUCAAGCCUUCAUAAGUACAUACAUUUACCUCCCAUAUAAAGAAGAGAGGUUCCUGUUCUCAACCAGGAUAUGCAAACAAGGAAACUCACUGGAAUGAGACUGCUGGGCCCCUCAGAUUUCAACACCCGGCUGUUUUCCCAAGAGAGCUGGUUCAACCUGCUGAAUAUUUGGACAGAAGCCAGCCUACACACUGACAACUCCCUGUGACUGAAAGCGUUGGGUUUGGCCUCUCCAGUGUCACCUCAAUGUGUUUCAUAUGCGGGGGGGGGCCCUUCAGGUAGGAAGGGGGAGCUUUGCCAGCCCUAUUUGGCACCUAACACUAUGUGAUCUUUACCAGUUGCUGUAAACUAGCUCCAAGUGGCACUUUUACGCUAUCAUUUUUGCCUGUUCACAUUCAGAUGUCACUAGUCUCCAUUGCUUGUAUGGAGGUGGAUAGACUAUGUCUAAGAAGAUUUCUACUCUCUCCAGAGGUUGCUCUAUACCACAUAUAAUAGCACAUCUGGAAACCUGAUUAUAACACAGCUCCAUUUUGUAGUUUAGGUGGGACUUUAACCAUGUUCCUGAGUAAUGCUAAAGCUUUGGAUAGUCCAAAAGCUAGUCCAGGUGAGCCCUCAAUCCUGUGUAUGCAGCACUUUUGCCUGGGCCACCUUUGCUCUGCACUGUGGUGUAAUGGGAAUCCUGCCAGGGAAACAAUCAUUUUGCAUACAAAUCUGUUUACAUGAAAAAUGUUUGCAGAACUUUCAAGCACUAGGAUCAUACUGAAGCAGCACAACAGCUGUACCACACCUGUUAAUUCAUUUAUACAGCUAUCUUUCCGAAUUUGUGGCAUAGGGAUGGUGGGAGCCAUGUCCCUCGAUGUGCUGUGGCUAUAGACAGUGAAUAGAGCAUAUUACUCUGUGUGGGAGUUCAGCCUCCAACCUAAAAGAACACAAGGCCUCUUCUGGGAAGAGACUACCAGAGCGAGAGAAUAUUUGUCAAUUUCUUUACAAUGAAAUACUGGAAUUUCAGCAUAGAAGGGAUAGGCUUUGCCUUUAUAAUAUGCAUUCCAUGGAUAGUGGGGUCUAUUUUCAGCAGGGUGCCACAAAGUUCCAUACUAGGAGACUGGUGGUUGUUUACUGUAUUCAUGUUAUCUGGGAAAACAGGUAAGCUAUGAGGUGGCAAAUUUUGCAGACGACGCACAAUUACUUAGGUUAGUCAAGACUAAGAAGACUGAAGAACUUCACAGGGACCUAACAAAGCAAGGUGAAUGGGCCACACAAAGGUAA